rnacentral:rRNA from 1 species
UAGCUUUCCCGAAUUAAAGAGAGCUAUAAUCUUAUAAAUUUAAUUGUGGCAUAAAUUUUUAUAAUAAGGUUAUGGUAGUGAAACGUUAUACGUUUUUUAUGAUAUCUGGUUUCUUAAGAAAUAAAUUUAAUUUAUUUUUUUGAAUUUAUGAGGCUGAUUUUUCUAGCUUUAUAGUUUGAAAAUUUUAUAAUCCUAGGGAUUAGCUUGGGAUUAGAAUUUUAUAAUUUUUUGAUUUUAUUAAAGGUUUGUAGGGUUGGAAAUGCUUUUCUUUAAUUUGUUAUAAUUAACCUUUGAUUUAAUAAGAUUUAUAUAUGUUGAUUUAAGUUUUAUAUUAAGAUUAUGAGUUUAAUGUUUUAUUUUAUGAAAUAAUGAUAAAAUUAGUAUAUUUGUUUGUAUUUUUAAGUUGUGUAUUAAGGUUAAGUUAAGGAACUCGGCAAAUGGAUUUUUCGCCUGUUUAUUAAAAACAUGUCUUUUUGAUUAUAAUUUAAAGUCUAACCUGCCCAAUGAGGAGUUAAAUGGCCGCGGUAAUUUGACCGUGCAAAGGUAGCAUAAUCAUUAGUUUUUUAAUUGGAAGCUGGUAUGAACGGUUGGACGAGAAAAUGACUGUCUCAAUUUAAUUGAUAAUAGAAUUUUAUUUAUAAGUAAAAAAGCUUAUAUGAGUUUAAAAGACGAGAAGACCCUAUAGAAUUUUAUAGUUGUACAUCUAUUUAACAGUUAGAAUUGAAUAAUUUGUUAGGUGUAGUGCUAUUUUGUUGGGGCGAUGGAAAAAUUGGUUAAACUUUUUUUGUGUUAUUUCAUUGAUUUAUGAGUGAUUGAUCCGUUUAUAACGAUUAUAAGAUAAAAUUACCUUAGGGAUAACAGCGUAAUUUUUUUUUAGAGUUCUUAUCGAAAGAAGAGUUUGCGACCUCGAUGUUGGAUUAAAAUUAACUUUUGGUGCAGGGGCUAAAAGGUUAGGUCUGUUCGACC